AGCUCCAAUAGCGUAUAUUAAAGUUGCUGCGUUUAAAAAGCUCGUAGUUGGAUCUCAGUCUCGAUCGAGCGGUCCGUCUUCCGGCGGUACUGCGCGAAUCGGACAUUCCGCCGCGUUUCUUCUCAUGCUCUUGACUGAGUGUGGGGGGAGAGUGGUACGUUUACUUUGAAAAAAUUAGAGUGCUCAAAGCAGGCCACCGCCUGAAUAGUCGUGCAUGGAAUGAUGGAAUAGGGCCUCGGUUCUAUUUUGUUGGUUUCCGGAACUCGAGGUAAUGAUUAAUAGGGACGGACGGGGGCAUUUGUAUUGCGACGUUAGAGGUGAAAUUCUUAGAUCGUCGCAAGACAAACUACUGCGAAAGCAUUUGCCAAGAAUGUUUUCAUUAAUCAAGAACGAAAGUACG
rnacentral:rRNA from 1 species